rnacentral:rRNA from 1 species
GAUGAACGCUGGCGGCGUGCCUAAUACAUGCAAGUCGAGCGAACAGACGAGGCGCUUGCUCCUCUGACGUUAGCGGCGGACGGGUGAGUAACACGUGGAUAACCUACCUAUAAGACUGGGAUAACUUCGGGAAACCGGCGCUAAUACCGGAUAAUAUAUUGAACCGCAUGGUUCAAUAGUGAAAGACGGUUUUGCUGUCACUUGUAGAUGGAUCGCCGCCGCAUUAGCUAGUUGGUAAGGUAACGGCUUACCAAGGCAACGAUGCGUAGCCGACCUGAGAGGGUGACCGGGCACAUGGGGACUGAGAGACGGCCCAGAGGGCUAUGGGAGGCAGGGGGGGAGAAUAUUGCAGAACGGGCGGGAGCAAGAGGCAGAAACGUCGCGUGCGGGAUGCUGGUUUUCGGGGUGUAAACAGAUGUGGACUGUGACGAAGCGUGAGUGACGGUAAUGGGUAAAGAAGCACCGGCUAACUACGUG